UGGGGAAUUUUGGACAAUGGGCGCAAGCCUGAUCCAGCUAUACCGCGUGAGUGAAGAAGGCCUUCGGGUUGUAAAGCUCUUUCAGACGGAAAGAAACGGUUACGGCUAAUACCCGUGACUAAUGACGGUACCGUAAGAAGAAGCACCGGCUAACUACGUGCCAGCAGCCGCGGUAAUACGUAGGGUGCGAGCGUUAAUCGGAAUUACUGGGCGUAAAGCGUGCGCAGGCGGUUAUAUAAGACAGAUGUGAAAUCCCCGGGCUCAACCUGGGAACUGCAUUUGUGACUGUAUAGCUAGAGUACGGCAGAGGGGGAUGGAAUUCCGCGUGUAGCAGUGAAAUGCGUAGAUAUGCGGAGGAACACCGAUGGCGAAGGCAAUCCCCUGGGCCUGUACUGACGCUCAUGCACGAAAGCGUGGGGAGCAAACAGGAUUAGAUACCCAUGUAGUCCCUGAGCGGGCUGGCAAGGCGCAU
rnacentral:rRNA from 1 species